rnacentral:snRNA from 1 species
GGGUGUGAGGAGGGUCUGGCUGCGGCGUGUCACCCAUUGAGAGCCAGGGUGCAUUUGGCCGAUCUGGCUGGCUAGUAGACGUGCCUUCCCCCCUCCCACUCCAUGUGCAUUCCUCCUGAGGCUGUGCACUCAGUCAAGGAUGACGACCACCCUGCUAGAGGAGGACUGUUCUUUCGGUCAAGGGUAUAGGAGUAUCUGUGCUCCCCUACCAGAAUCUCCAAACAAGUGCUCAAGGAAACCAUGUGUAUGUUUUACAUUGGACAGAAGAUCUAAGUCACUGUCAGUGAAAUAAGGAGAUAUGAGUAAAUCCUGCUAAUGU